rnacentral:piRNA from 1 species
UGCAGAAAGUUUUGGUCAUAUUUGUGUUA